rfam:Solanum lycopersicum cultivar Heinz 1706 chromosome 10, whole genome shotgun sequence.
GUCUAGAUAAGGGGACAUCCGAUAAAAUUGAAACUAUACAACGAAGAUUAGCAUGGUCCCUGUGCAAGGAUGACACACACUAUACAAGUGUACAUAGUUAUU